UCCGUAGGGUGCGAGCGUUGUCCGGAAUUAUUGGGCGUAAAGGGCUCGUAGGCGGUUUGUCGCGUCGGGAGUGAAAUCCACUGGCUUAACUGGUGGCUUGCUUUCGAUACGGGCAGACUGGAGGUAUGCAGGGGAGAACGGAAUUCCUGGUGUAGCGGUGAAAUGCGCAGAUAUCAGGAGGAACACCGGUGGCGAAGGCGGUUCUCUGGGCAUGUCCUGACGCUGAGGAGCGAAAGCAUGGGGAGCGAACAGG
rnacentral:rRNA from 1 species